GGGGGGGGGGGGGGGGGGGGGGGGUGCGGGCGGGGCGCGCGAGCGGACGAGGGGCUUGCUCCUCUGGCGUUGGCGGCGGACGGGUGAGUAACACGUGGAUCGCCUACCUAUAAGACUGUGAUAACUUCGGUAAACCGGAGCUCAUACCGGAGAAUCUAUUGACCCGCAUGGUUCAAUAGUGACAGACGGUGUUGCUGUCACUUAUAUAUUGCUCCGCUCCGCAUUAGCUAUUUGGUAAGGUAACGGCUUACCAAGGCAACGAUGCGUAGCCGACCUGAGAGGGUGAUCGGCCACACUGGAACUGAGACACGGUCCAGACUCCUACGGGAGGCAGCAGUAGGGAAUCUUCCGCAAUGGGCGAAAGCCUGACGGAGCAACGCCGCGUGAGUGAUGAAGGUCUUCGGAUCGUAAAACUCUGUUAUUAGGGAAGAACAAAUGUGUAAGUAACUAUGCACGUCUUGACGGUACCUAAUCAGAAAGCCACGGCUAACUACGUG
rnacentral:rRNA from 1 species